GAUGCUAAUACCGGAUAACAACAGAUGAUGCCUAUCAACUGUUUAAAAGAUGGUUCUGCUAUCACUCUUGGAUGGACCUGCGGUGCAUUAGCUAGUUGGUAGGGUAACGGCCUACCAAGGCGAUGAUGCAUAGCCGAGUUGAGAGACCGAUCGGCCACAUUGGGACUGAGACACGGCCCAAACUCCUACGGGAGGCAGCAGCC
rnacentral:rRNA from 1 species